UAUAACUAAUUAAGUGAAGUUUGGAAUGAAAGCCUUCAAGUUGAGCUGAAACAAGCUAUCUGAUACUCCUGCAUGCAACAAAUAGGAAUAGCUAUUUAUUGUGUGAAGCCAGGUGAAGUCGGCUGAACAAAGCCUAAGUCUGUACCUAAGAUAUGGCUGAGGAUAGGUCGGGAUGCUAUAAA
rfam:Enterococcus mundtii QT 25 plasmid pQY182 DNA, complete genome.